AUUGAACGCUGGCGGAAUGCUUUACACAUGCAAGUCGAACGGCAGCACGGGGGCAACCCUGGUGGCGAGUGGCGAACGGGUGAGUAAUACAUCGGAACGUGCCCGGUCGUGGGGGAUAACGUAGCGAAAGUUACGCUAAUACCGCAUACGAUCUGAGGAUGAAAGCGGGGGACCUUCGGGCCUCGCGCGAUCGGAGCGGCCGAUGUCAGAUUAGGUAGUUGGUGGGGUAAAGGCCUACCAAGCCGACGAUCUGUAGCUGGUCUGAGAGGACGACCAGCCACACUGGGACUGAGACACGGCCCAGACUCCUACGGGAGGCAGCAGUGGGGAAUUUUGGACAAUGGGCGCAAGCCUGAUCCAGCCAUUCCGCGUGCAGGACGAAGGCCUUCGGGUUGUAAACUGCUUUUGUAUGGAACGAAAAGGCUCUGGCUAAUACCUGGGGCUCAUGACGGUACCGUAAGAAUAGGCACCGGCUAACUACGUG
rnacentral:rRNA from 1 species